GCUGACGACCGGCGCACGGGUGCGUAACGCGUAUAGAAUCUACCUUGUACUAGGGGAUAGCCUUUGGAAACGAAGAUUAAUACCCUAUAGUAAGUAUUUAUGGCAUCAUUUAUACUUUAAAGGUUACGGUACAAGAUGACUAUGCGUCCUAUUAGUUUGUUGGUGAGGUAACGGCUCACCAAGACUUCGAUAGGUAGGGGCCCUGAGAGGGGGAUCCCCCACACUGGUACUGAGACACGGACCAGACUCCUACGGGAGGCAGCAGUGAGGAAUAUUGGACAAUGGAGGCAACUCUGAUCCAGCCAUGCCGCGUGCAGGAUGACGGCCCUAUGGGUUGUAAACUGCUUUUAUGUAGGAAGAAACACUCUCACGUGUGAGAGCUUGACGGUACUACAAGAAUAAGGACCGGCUAACUCCGUGCCAGCAGCCGCGGUAAUACGGAGGGUCCAAGCGUUAUCCGGAAUCAUUGGGUUUAAAGGGUCCGUAGGCGGGCUAUUAAGUCAGAGGUGAAAGUUUGCAGCUCAACUGUAAAAUUGCCUUUGAAACUGGUAGUCUUGAAUUAUUAUGAAGUGGUUAGAAUAAGUAGUGUAGCGGUGAAAUGCAUAGAUAUUACUUAGAAUACCAAUUGCGAAGGCAGAUCACUAAUAAUAUAUUGACGCUGAGGGACGAAAGCGUGGGGAGCGAACAGGAUUAGAUACCCUGGUAGUCCACGCCGUAAACGAUGGAUACUAGCUGUUCGGA
rnacentral:rRNA from 1 species